GACGAACGCUGGCGGCGUGCUUAACACAUGCAAGUCGAACGGUGAAGCCCCAGCUUGCUGGAGUGGAUCAGUGGCGAACGGGUGAGUAACACGUGAGCAACCUGCCCCUGACUCUGGAAUAAGCGCUGGAAACGGCGUCUAAUACUGGAUACGAGAAGGGUCCGCAUGGGCACUUUCUGGAAAGUUUGUCGGUUGGGGAUGGGCUCGCGGCCUAUCAGCUUGUUGGUGAGGUAAUGGCUCACCAAGGCGACGACGGGUAGCCGGCCUGAGAGGGCGACCGGCCACACUGGGACUGAGACACGGCCCAGACUCCUACGGGAGGCAGCAGUGGGGAAUAUUGCACAAUGGGCGAAAGCCUGAUGCAGCGACGCCGCGUGAGGGAUGACGGCCUUCGGGUUGUAAACCUCUUUCAGCAGGGAAGAAGCGAAAGUGACGGUACCUGCAGAAGAAGCACCGGCUAACUACGUG
rnacentral:rRNA from 1 species